rnacentral:misc_RNA from 1 species
AACAUCGCGCACCUGCGGGAACCUGCGGAAGGAUCAUUACCGAGUUUACAACUCCCAAACCCCUGUGAACAUACCUAUACGUUGCCUCGGCGGAUCAGCCCGCGCCCCGUAAAACGGGACGGCCCGCCCGAGGACCCCUAAACUCUGUUUUUAGUGGAACUUCUGAGUAAAACAAACAAAUAAAUCAAAACUUUUAACAAUGGAUCU